UCUAAAUUUUAAGCAAAUUCUAAAUCCUAAAUCCUAAGAAAAUCUUAAAUUAAAUUCUAAAUCCUAAUCUAAUCCUAAAUUCUAAUCCAACCUUAAUCCUAAACCAAAUCCUAACUAAAACCUAAUCAAUUCAAUCUAACUCUAGCAAAAUUUAGAACCUCAAUGUCUACUGAUUAAAUUAUUGAUCUUAUUUUAAAUUUUAUAUACUUCUCAAAAAUUCAAUUAGCAACAAACAUAUAAUAUUUGGAGAUAAUUUUAUUUACCAAAUGGAAGAAAAAUCCUAGAAUUUGCUGAGGUAUUGGCUUAUUUCCUACUCCAAUCUAAAUGUUGAACUUUCAAUAUCAAUAUUUCCUUUUCAAACUAUUCAAUUCUUCUCAAAUUUCAUGUAUGUGUAGAAAAUCAAGUUUUUUAUCUUCAUACACAAAUUUCAUUAUAAUCCAACUUGUAAAAUGCUGAAGAUCCUAGAAAUCCCAACUACCCUUCAAAGUCUAAUUUCCAAAAUUUCAACCUACUUGAAAUUCAAUAGCCUUCAAUUCAACCAUUCAAAUAUAUAGCAUACACUUCAAAUAACUAUUUUUAUAAAUCUUCAAAAUUUGAAUCAAAGAUCUACU
rnacentral:lncRNA from 1 species